GGGGCCGAAGCUCAGCUGGUAGAGCGCCUGCUUUGCAAGCAGGAUGUCAGCGGCUCGAUUCCGCUCGGCUCCACCA
rnacentral:tRNA from 1 species